UUUUUUUUUUUUUUUUGGUUGAUGAAUUGUUCUAAAAUUUACUGUGGUGUUGGUUGCACUACUCUGUGAGUAUAAUAAAAACCACUGACUUGUGCACUUUACAUGGGUAAACUAUAUAUGAGUUAUCUCCUAAGACUGUUAUAAAGCAAAAGCAAUCCGAAUGGCUGAGUCCGCACGGACGCAGCAUCGCAAUCUGCCCUGGGGGUCCUCAGAGCACACUCGCCUUAUUUAUAUUUUUCAGACAAUGCACCUACUACAUUCCCAUCUUUCUUCCAAAAUGUUAAAGAAAUUGCAUCUACAAGACACAUCUUCAAACAGAAACACAAAAAUCUUACAACGAAACAGGACUGCACAGAAGGCCACCUCCAGAACUGCCCUGGUCAACUGUCAGGACAUCAGCAAUGUUUUAUCCACACAGAAGCACAAAGGGACAGAAACUGUGUUCUCUGCCUUCUUACUGAGACACAAGGCCACAGGAAGUCCACUCAGGAUGGAGGGGGCCGGCGGACAAUGGUCCGGCUGCCACCCUCAGCCUAAACUCGGCUCCCGAAUGUAUCACGCUACCCAAUGGCCGGCUCAGCUUUUCACCACUUGCAAAUGUAAUAGUGAGACCCCUCCUACCAAUAGCCACAUUGUUACCUGAAGAUUUGACAGUUCGACAGAAAAUACCACAUUAGACGAGGAGGCCCCAGGAAGAACAAGACCCAACGUGGCCAUGCUAGAAAGGGAGAAAGAAGACCUGAGAGUGUGCCAGCGCUAAAGAGAAACCCUUUGGAGGCGUCUGAGAGCAGUACCACUGUUAGUGCAAUUCCUCACCAGCACAGCACCUCACUGGGUGCUCAAAACCACCCGCUGAGCCAUCUGCAUUUGGCAGAGAGGCUCAGGCAGGACAAAAGCCCGAGGACCCACAGCGGGUACUCGAGACAAAAGCAGCUCAAGCUCAGGUCUUCGAACUCCCAACCGUGUAUUGUUGCCUAAGUCAACGAUUUGUUGCAUGUGCAUAAAACAUCUGGCUCGAAAGAUGGCCCUGGCAUGGAAUAAUAGUCAGUCUUAAAUGGAAUAUUUUUCAGCCUUAAAAAGCAAAGAAAUUCUGACACAUGCUACAACAUGGAUGGACCUUGAGGACAUUAUGCUAAAUGAAAGAAGUCACAGAGAAGUCACGGAAGGACAAAUGCUGGAUGAGCCAACCCAGGGUACUCCAAGUCACAAAGAUGGGAAGUAAACGGUGGGUGCCAGGGCUGUGGGGAGGGGGAGUGGGGAGUUAUGGCUUAAUGGGUGCAGAGUUUUAGUUUUGUGAGAUGAAAACAGUCCUGAUGAUGGUUGCACAACAGUGUGAAUAUACUUAAUGCCACUGAACUGUACACUUAAAAAUGGUUAAGAUGGUACAUUUUAUGUUACGUAUGUUUUACCACAAUAAAAAAAAUUCCCCUGGCACCAUUCAGAUCACGUGAGACCAGUUCAAAUGCAUGUGGAAGUAAAUCGAUAAAAAUCAUCAAUCAAGACUCUCUUCCCUCUUUUUUUUUUUUUUUCCCCCCAGACAGGGUCUUACUCUGUCAUUCAGGUGCAAUCUCUGCUCACUGCAACUUCCACCUCCUGGGCUCAAGCGAUUUUUCUGCCUCAGCCUCCCAAGUAACUGGGACUACAGGUGUGCACCACCACGCCUGGCUAAUUUUUGUAGAGAUGGGGUUUCACCAUGUUGUCCAGGCUGGUUUCAAACUCCUAACCUCAAGGAAUCCACCUGCUUCGGCCUCCCAAAGUGCUGGGACAGGCGUGAGCUACCAAGUCUGGCCUCUUCCCUCCUUUCAACUCAUAUUCCAAGGGUGCCAAGGAGUGGGGA
ensembl:lncRNA